AUACGGAGGGUGCGAGCGUUGUUCGGAAUUAUUGGGCGUAAAGAGCAUGUAGGCGGUCUGUUAAGUCUGGUGUGAAAGCCCGGGGCUCAACCCCGGAAGUGCAUUGGAUACUGGCAGACUUGAGUAUGGGAGAGGAAAGCGGAAUUCCGAGUGUAGGAGUGAAAUCCGUAGAUAUUCGGAGGAACACCAGUGGCGAAGGCGGCUUUCUGGACCAAUACUGACGCUGAGAUGCGAAAGCGUGGGGAGCGAACAGGAUUAGAAACCCUAGUAGUCC
rnacentral:rRNA from 1 species